GACGAACCGAGCGAACGUUAUUCGGAAUCACUGGGCUUAAAGGGUGCGUAGGCGGCUUUGUAAGUCAGUGGUGAAAUAUGGCAGCUCAACUGUCAAGGUGCCAUUGAUACUGCGGAGCUUGAGUACAGAUGAGGUAGGCGGAAUUGACGGUGUAGCGGUGAAAUGCUUAGAUAUCGUCAAGAACACCUAUAGCGAAGGCAGCUUACUAGGCUGUAACUGACGCUGAGGCACGAAAGUGUGGGAAUCAAACAGG
rnacentral:rRNA from 1 species